rnacentral:rRNA from 1 species
GUGGGGAAUAUUCCGCAAUGGACGAAAGUCUGACGGAGCAACGCCGCGUGAGUGAUGAAGGUUUUCGGACUGUAAAGCUCUGUUGUUUAGGACGAAAGUGCCUGUUGCGAAUAGUUACAGGUAUUGACUGUACUGAACGAGGAAGCCACGGCUAACUACGUGCCAGCAGCCGCGGUAAUACGUAGGUGGCAAGCGUUGUCCGGAAUUAUUGGGCGUAAAGAGCAUGUAGGCGGGAAUCUAAGUCUGUUGUGAAAAUGCGGGGCUCAACCCCGUAUUGCGAUGGAAACUGGGUGUCUUGAGUGCAGGAGAGGAAAGGGGAAUUCCCAGUGUAGCGGUGAAAUGCGUAGAUAUUGGGAGGAACACCAGUGGCGAAGGCGCCUUUCUGGACUGUGUCUGACGCUGAGAUGCGAAAGCCAGGGUAGCGAACGGGAUUAGAAACCCUAGUAGUCC